AUUGAACGCUGGCGGCAGGCCUAACACAUGCAAGUCGAACGAGUGGCGGACGGGUGAGUAAUGUCUGGGAAACUGCCUGAUGGAGGGGGAUAACUACUGGAAACGGUAGCUAAUACCGCAUACCAUCAGAUGUGCCCAGAUGGGAUUAGCUUGUUGGUGGGGUAACGGCUCACCAAGGCGACGAUCCCUAGCUGGUCUGAGAGGAUGACGAGCCACACGGGAAAUGGGAGACGGUCCAGAUUCCUACGGGAGGACGCGGUGGGGGAUAUUGCAAAAUGGGCGCAGGCCUGAUGCAUCCCGGACGAGGGUAUGAAGAGGGCCUUCGGGUGGUAAUGUACUUGCAGCGGGGAGGCGUUACACGCAGAAGAGGCACCGGUUAACACCGUGCCAGCAGCCGCGGUAAUUC
rnacentral:rRNA from 1 species